AUUGAACGCUGGCGGCAUGCUUUACACAUGCAAGUCGAACGGUAACAGGCCGCAAGGUGCUGACGAGUGGCGAACGGGUGAGUAAUGCAUCGGAACGUGCCCAGUCGUGGGGGAUAACUGCUCGAAAGAGCAGCUAAUACCGCAUACGAUCUAUGGAUGAAAGCGGGGGACCGUAAGGCCUCGCGCGAUUGGAGCGGCCGAUGUCAGAUUAGGUAGUUGGUGGGGUAAAGGCUCACCAAGCCAACGAUCUGUAGCUGGUCUGAGAGGACGACCAGCCACACUGGGACUGAGACACGGCCCAGACUCCUACGGGAGGCAGCAGUGGGGAAUUUUGGACAAUGGGGGCAACCCUGAUCCAGCAAUGCCGCGUGCAGGAAGAAGGCCUUCGGGUUGUAAACUGCUUUUGUACGGAACGAAAAGCCCUGGGUUAAUACCCUGGGGUCAUGACGGUACCGUAAGAAUAAGCACCGGCUAACUACGUGCCAGCCGCCGCCGUAACAC
rnacentral:rRNA from 1 species